rnacentral:rRNA from 1 species
AGAAGAAGCACCGGCCAACUACGUGCCAGCAGCCGCGGUGAUACGUAGGGUGCAAGCGUUGUCCGGAUUUAUUGGGCGUAAAGAGCUCGUAGGCGGUUUGAUUAGUCGGGUGUGAAACCUCCAGGCUCAACCUGGAGCCGCCACUCGAUACUGUCAUGACUAGAAUUCGGUAGGGGACCACGGAAUUCCUGGUGUAGCGGUGAAAUGCGCAGAUAUCAGGAGGAACACCAGCAGCGAAGGCGGUGGUCUGGGCCGACAUUGACGCUGAGGAGCGAAAGCGUGGGGAGCGAACAGGAUUAGAUACCCUGGUAGUCCACGCCGUAAACGUUGGGCACUAGGUGUGGGGACUAUUCAACGGUUUCCGCGCCGCAGCUAACGCAUUAAGUGCCCCGCCUGGGGAGU